rnacentral:lncRNA from 1 species
CUGGCCUAUCACUUCUAACGAUGUUACCGGUGCGUUGAACUUAUAGCAGAGUAUAAAUGAGGGCUCAAGGAUAUCAUGUGACCGGCGUAUGGAUGACAGGGUGAAAAGAGGUGAGAUAUUUAGCUUUGGCCCUUUUUCGGCUAAGACUAGGCUUUCCAGUUGAGUGAAGUGUUUAUCUUGUAUUCCAACUUAUUUUCAUGCUUUAAUCCUGACU